GACCUGCUAGCUACUGGGGGGAGAUGUGGCUCUGUCACGUCUGACUGGUUCCUGUGUCAGUCAAAAGGAUUCCCAUUGCAACGUGUCAUUCCCCCGCAGUCUUCUUACUUCACAGGAUGAAUUCCUAAAUGAACCGGGAGCCGCAGAAAGGAGCGAGAGUAGG